UAUUUAACUCAAAUACUUCAA
ensembl:piRNA 21ur-13462 ncRNA